GCGCCCGUAGCUCAGUUAUCAGAGCGGUGGAACGGUACCCCACAGUUUCGGGUUCAAGUCCCGGGGGUCGCA